AUCGUCAGAAGGUUCCACUUACUGCAGAACUCUGUCUCCAGAGAGCGUGGAUUCUAACUAGUUUUUUUCCACCUCUAAAAAAGUGGCUAGCUCAUCAUUAUUGUCCUCAUUUUUUAGGAAGGAACCACAUGUGAAACCACUUACCUGUUUAACCCUAUGAACUUGAAGAGAACAUGUAAUGCCACUUAAAAUACCUAAGCUCGGGUUCUGCCUUCAGCGACUCCUGGUAGUAGUGCCCUUAUGAGCCAUUUAUCAAGAAGGCUUUAAGAUACAAGAUACUUCAAUGAAUAAAACAAAGACCUUUGCUUUCCUGAAACUUGAGAUCAAAUGGAGGACACACAAAAACAACGCACCUACAAAUCACCAUAUUGUGUGUCAGGAGCUGAGGAUGCUAUGAAAACCCCUUGAGGAAACAAAGGCACCUUGGGGGCCAUUGAGAACUCCUGACGAAGAGGGCUCAGCUGCCAGACCUGCUCAAGAAAGACCUCAGAAAUCUCUAUGGGGCUGUCAGAAGAAAAGGUUUGAAAAGGGUCUGGAGAGACUGAAAUUUGUCUGCCUUGGACUUUUCUUUUGACAAUUCACAUCCAACUUAAGCAGAAUCAUUGUUUAUUCUUAUUAUGCCAGGUUUCCUUUUCUGGUCUGCAGGUUCUCUAGGGUUUCAUAGGCUAGUAGUUGGAAUUUUCAUAUUUCCAAAGCAUUGGGGAUUUUGCAAAAACAAAAUCUAAAGGAUAUUCAGCAGCACAGUUUACUUAGGAGGUUUUAAUCAUAAUAAUCUGCAUAAUGUAUGAGAAUUUCUACCUCAGCUGCCUCCUUUCUUUCUCUUUCGUGUCUGGGAAAAAGCCAGGGAUUUUUCCCUUCCUCUGAUUUAAAUACCUUAUAAAAUUUUGGUGGAAGCAUUUUGUCCUAUUCUGUCUUCCUGAUUCAUUUUCUGCUGUAAUGAGCAAAAUUAAUUUGCAAGAGCUGCUACUGACAUAGUGUAAUAAACUGGGUCAUAGGUAGAAUCAGUGCCGCCUUAUGACCCUUAGCUGUCAUUGCUUUAAGGAAUUUGGCAUGGUCCUCGAAGGCCAGAAGGCAAUGUGGGUUGCAUCCUACAGCUUUUGAGAUCUCAGAGACUUACUGCACCCAUGGCUGGGAAUGAACUGUAAAUGCUGACACUGGUAACUAGGUGCCAAACUGAAGUGAUCACAACCUAAUCUGAGCCAAAAGGCAUUUCUUUGCAUCAGGCAUAAAGCAACAUCAAACUCCCAUAACCCACACACAACACAGAAAUCAUUACUGAAGAGAUUCAACAUCAUCAUGCCAGACACUAAGUGAGUUAUUUCUCUCCUUCCCUGUCUCACCACAGUUUCCUCCCACUUGGUCACACAUGGUAAGCAUUCAUGUGUGCGAAGGCAUUUUAUGCCUUCGACCUAACCCCGACCACAGUCCCCUAGUCUUAUCAGAGAUCUGCACUCCCCACCAUUUGAGCACGAUGGAGUGCAUAUUUCCAGUGCAAAAAGACUGAUAUCAUUAUGAUUUUCAUUAACUAGUUGCCAGCUUGCAUUCUUUUUUCUCCCUUUUUUUCUCUCUCAACAGCACUUCUGUCCUCAGCCCAACCCCAGCCAGAAAAGGUGUUGCUACAUUCAGUGAAAAAUUAUUAUUAGUAUAGACAUGAAAUUUGAUGAUAAUGUAGAUUGUUUUGUGUCAUCUGCAGGCUGUCACAAUACACUCUGCAUCACUGAAAUGUGUUGACCAGAAGGAUGAUGGUGUUGUCAUGAUACUGAGGUCUUUUAAUUAAUUACUUUGUGACUUUCAUAGCAUUUAGAAAACGGAGAACAGGGUAUUUUCUUGAACAGCCUAGCCAAAUGAAAAACUGGUUACUAAUGUAUGUUAUCUUCAUGAAUGAAGGCAUAAAAUAAUAAAAACAAACAAAUUAAAAAUUGUUAAUAAAUUAAUAACUAAUAAAAAUAAAUAAAAUAAA
rnacentral:lncRNA from 1 species